UGUGGACCAAGAGCUAUUUUUUGGUGGGCCAGGAACCGCUUAUGAAAAAUUAUCUUAAAAGUAUUUUAGUACUUUUCAUAUCCUUUCAAUCAUUAAACAGGAUGUUUGGAGAGUAAAAACGAUGGCUUGUGCCGACGCCGCCGGCGGCCAGGCCGCCGCUGCCGCCGCAGCCGCAGCAGGCCACGCCUGCGCCCACGUCCGCGCCCAUGGCGAGCUCGUCGUCGCCAUUCGACCGCACAACAACAUCAAUGACGAUAAGACGGACAGGGGCGAGACCGAGGAGGCGCAGAGCAAGUGACAUGAGGAUUCCGCUGCCGCGUCGGUGCAGCUGACCUCCGCCGCCGAAGCCAUCGGCAUGCCAACUCCGCAGCGGCCGCCCGCCUCGCCAUGCGGCGGCCGGGUCGUCCUCCUCGUCCCGGCGCUGCUGCUCUUCUCCAGCACUGCGCACAGCGCGGAGGAGUGUUGAUGAGGGUGCUGGUGGGCGAGACGAAGCCGCAGCGCCAUGGCCGACGGGUCUACGGGGUCGACGGGUUUCGGCCGUACCCAGCCUCCGUACGAUCUUCGCUGAUGACUAAUGACUAAAUUAUCUCUAAUUAAAAUAAAACACAUGCUGUUAAAAUCAACGAUCCAGAUAUUUUUGAUGGGGAGGAACCACUGGUUCCUCUCAAGCACCGUAACAA